UCAGGAUGAACGCUAGCGGGAGGCUUAACACAUGCAAGUCGAGGGGUAACGAUUCAGAUUUCGGUUUGAAGGCGACGACCGGCGCACGGGUGAGUAACGCGUAUGCAACCUACCUCAAACAGGGGAAUAGCUCAGGGAAACCUGGAUUAAUGCCCCGUAAUAUUUAAAACUGGCAUCAGUUUAAAAUUAAAGCUCCGGCGGUUUGAGAUGGGCAUGCGUGACAUUAGCUAGUUGGUAAGGUAAAGGCUUACCAAGGCAACGAUGUCUAGGGGUUCUGAGAGGAUGAUCCCCCACACUGGUACUGAGACACGGACCAGACUCCUACGGGAGGCAGCAGUGAGGAAUAUUGGUCAAUGGGCGCAAGCCUGAACCAGCCAUCCCGCGUGUAGGAAGACUGCCCUAUGGGUUGUAAACUACUUUUAUAAAGGAAGAAACCCUUCUAACGUGUAGAAGGCUGACUGUACUUUAAGAAUAAGCACCGGCUAACUCCGUGCCAGCAGCCGCGGUAAUACGGAGGGUGCAAGCGUUAUCCGGAUUUAUUGGGUUCAAAGGGUGCGUAGGCUGAUUAUUAAGUCAGCGGUGAAAUCCUACAGCUUAACUGUAGAACUGCCGUUGAUACUGAUAGUCUUGAGUAUAGUUGAGGUAGGCGGAAUGUGUCAUGUAGCGGUGAAAUGCUUAGAUAUGACACAGAACACCGAUUGCGAAGGCAGCUUACUAAACUAUAACUGACGCUGAGGCACGAAAGCGUGGGGAGCGAACAGGAUUAGAUACCCUGGUAGUCCACGCCGUAAACGAUGAAUACUCGCUGUUAGCAAUACACAGUUAGCGGCUAAGCGAAAGCAUUAAGUAUUCCACCUGGGGAGUACGAUCGCAAGAUUGAAACUCAAAGGAAUUGACGGGGGCCCGCACAAGCGGAGGAACAUGUGGUUUAAUUCGAUGAUACGCGAGGAACCUUACCUGGGCUUAAAUGUAGUUUGAUUUUACUGGAAACGGUAUUUCCCUUCGGGGCAGAUUACAAGGUGCUGCAUGGUUGUCGUCAGCUCGUGCCGUGAGGUGUCGGGUUAAGUCCCAUAACGAGCGCAACCCCUAUCGUUAGUUGCUAGCAGGUAAUGCUGAGGACUCUAGCGAAACUGCCGGUGUAAACCGAGAGGAAGGUGGGGAUGACGUCAAAUCAGCACGGCCCUUAUGUCCAGGGCUACACACGUGUUACAAUGGCCGAUACAAUGGGCAGCUACCUGGUGACAGGAUGCUAAUCUCCAAAGUCGGUCUCAGUUCGGAUCGAAGUCUGCAACUCGACUUCGUGAAGUUGGAUUCGCUAGUAAUCGUAUAUCAGCAAUGAUACGGUGAAUACGUUCCCGGGCCUU
rnacentral:rRNA from 1 species